AAAAAAAGGGGGGAAAAAAAGGAUGGCUAAAAAACAAGUGAGCGGGAGAAGAAGAGGAGAGAGAAGGAGACGGUGUUGUGGGAGCUGUGAGAGUCACUAGGCUGUGGCUCCAUUGUCAAGGUGAUCGUCCAUCAAGAUGAAGUACUUGCACCCUUUGUGCCAGGACACCCUGUCUCUCCUAAAGAUGUGCUUCUUAUCAGGGCCUGCUUUGAGAGGAGUUUGUUUUGUUCUCUCAGCACCGGCAGCAGGCUGGCCCCUUAAGGCAUCUGUGCUCAAGGACGGGGCUUUCUCACUGUCUUCUUUAAGUUCGAUGUCAAAUCUUCCCUCUUCAAGUUGGCAAUCCAAUGACGAACCCGUCCGUGGUGGAUCAUGAAUUGAAAAGAUCUAGUAGUUCCCAUUGAUUUUGCUUGUAAAGCGGGGAGAAUGGCGCCAGGCUUACUGCACCGUGACGUAACUGCCGGAAGAUUGGCCAGUACUGGACUGAGUGAUCAAGAUGAAAAAUAUUGUUUUUAUUUUUUUAAUGAUUAACGCUAAAUUUAUUAAAUCACCACAAACGUAUUAGUUUUAGGUAUAAAUAAUGACCCCUUGGUUAUUCCUUACUGACUGGACUUUUCCUUUAAACCUAACUGGAUAAAUGUGUGAAAAUCCUUAUCCGCUGUUGAUUCAACUCCUGUUUUUCUGACAGAACAACUCAUCAUCCCGAACCAUUUGAAGUGACAGCUACAACCGGAUCUCCAGGACUGAAUGAUUGCCAUCAGAGACUUUUGUUUUCUUUAAGUCCUUCAACAGCAGUCUGAAGAGCUCCACGCUGGUUCAACACCGCGAGAAGUAGCUUAGACCCCUACCCAGUGUUUACAUAAUCUCACCCAUCCGUCUCUCACUCAACAGUGAUGGAGGGCCGCUGGGCAAUGAGGCAUUUACAUCUCAUCCAUGGCCUGUUUGUCUCCAAUGAGCACUGGGAGCCUAAAUGCAAAUAGCUGAUUGUUUGUUUUUUGUUGGCUCAAGUUAAAAUAACAGAAGUGUAACAAUUAAAGCAAUAAAGAAUGUUGUUGUGAAGCAUUGGUAAAGU